CGAAAGUUAGAGGUUCGAAGGCGAUCAGAUACCGCCCUAGUUCUAACCAUAAACGAUGCCAGCCAGCGAUCCGGCUGUGUUCCUCAAAUGACACGCCGGGCAGCUUCCGGGAAACCAAAGCUUUUGGGUUCCGGGGGAAGUAUGGUUGCAAAGCUGAAACUUAAAGGAAUUGACGGAGGCGCACAACCAGGCAUGGAUAUUGCGGUUCAAUUUGACUCAACGCAGCAAAUCCUACCAGGCCAGGACACAGGAAGGAUUGACAGAUUGAGAGCUCUUUCUUGAUUCUGUGGGUGGUGGUGCAUGGCCGUUCUUGGUUCGUGGUGUGAAUUGUCUUGUUUAUUCUGAUAACGGACGAGAUUCUGGCCUACUAAAUAGGCGCUUCGAUCCUUCGAGUCGAGCGUUUCUUCUUAGAGGGACAGGCGGUGUUCAACCGCACGAGGAAGAGCAAUAACAGGUCUGUAAUGCCCUUAGAUGUCCUGGGCCACACGCGUUCUACAUUGAAGGAAUCAACGUGUGCUUUCCCUGUCCGAAGGGACUGGGUAACCCGUUGAACCUCCUUCGUGCUGGGGAUAGGAAAUUGUAAUUAUCUUCCUUGAACGAGGAAUUCCUAGUAAGCGCGAGUCAUCAUCUCGUGUUGAUUACGUCCCUGCGCCUUGUCCACACCGCCCGUCGCUAUUACCGAUUGAAUGAUUUAGUGAGGUCUUCGGACUGGCGCUCGGAUUGGCCUUCGGGUCGAGCCGGCGUGCCGGAAAGAUGACCGAACUUGACCAUUUAGAGGAAAUAAAAGUCGUAACAAGG
rnacentral:rRNA from 1 species